rnacentral:rRNA from 1 species
UACGUAGGUGACAAGCGUUGUCCGGAUUUACUGGGCGUAAAGAGCGCGCAGGCGGUCGUUCAAGUCGAGUGUGAAAGCCCCCGGCUCAACUGGGGAGGGUCAUUCGAUACUGAUCGACUCGAAGGCAGGAGAGGGGAGUGGAAUUCCCGGUGUAGUGGUGAAAUGCGUAGAUAUCGGGAGGAACACCAGUGGCGAAGGCGGCUCACUGGACCGGUACUGACGCUGAGGCGCGAAAGCGUGGGGAGCAAACAGG